GCCAUUCUGAACUACAUUUAGCUGUGCUUCCAAGUUAUGAAGGCACACAUAACAAGGCAAUGAAUAUGGAGAUGGAGAUCUGGAGAGCUAUAUGUGUAGCUAAAAGAGAUCGUGGGACACAGGGAUCUGCAGACAAGAAGAAAAUCCUACCUCUCUACAUGUUCUGCAUCUCAAUUUAGCAUCUCCUAUUGUCUGUGGGUUUUUUUUGUUUUUAGUUAAUUAUAAUUUUGACAUAAUUAACCUUCCUUAGGUUCAGUGCGGAAACUUUAGAAAUGUGGCUAAAAUGAAAGCUAAAUUUAGUCAAUUUUUCUAGUUUAAGUUCACUAAAAGCCAUGAUCUCAGCCAUAUUACUUAAGCUCUCUGUCCCUAUCUUCCCCAUGAAGAUAGUAAUUUUAUCUACAUUAAAUACUGGCUCCUGGCCGGGCGCAGUGGCUCACGCCUGUGAUCCCAGCGCUUUGGGAGGUCGAGGUGGGCAGAUCACCUGAGAUUUGGAGUUAGAGACCAGCCUGACCAGCAUGGAGAAACCUCAUCUCUACAAAAAAUACAAAAUUAGUCGGCAUGGUGGUGCAUGCCUGUAGUCCAAGCUACUCAGGAGGCUGAGGCAGAAGAAUCGCUUGAACCCGGGAGGUGGAGGUUGUGGUGAGCCGAGAUCGCACCAUUGCACACCAGAUUGCACUCUAGCCUGCAUAACAAGAGCAAAACUCUGUCUAAAAAAAAAAAAAAAAGUGGCUCCUGAGAUUCAAUGUAUUUAAUAAAGGAUGUAAAACAGUGCUUGUCCCAUAGUAACUGCUUAAAAUGUUGUUUAGUAUUAUUAUUUUCUAUACUAGGACGUAUAUGUUUAUUAUUCUCUUAAAUAAUUUGGCAAAUUGUAG
rnacentral:lncRNA from 1 species